ACGGGUGAGUAACGCGUNCACAACAUGCCAUCAUCUCGGGGUCAUCAGCUCUUGGGAAAACUGAAGGUAAUCCCCCAUAACAUUGCGAGAGGGCAUCUGAUCUGCAAUUCAAAGUCUCGACGGUAUCAUGACUCUGGUUGUGCGUCCUGAUCUCAGGCUCAGUUGGUCAGGGUCAACGGGCCUACCAAGGCGACGAUCAAUCAGCUCGGCGUCGCAGAGCGCGACCAGCCACACUGGAACUCGAGACACGGUCCAGACUCCUCACGGGAGGCAGCAGUCAGGGAAUCAUUUGGACAAUGGGCGACAAGCCUGAUCCAGCCAUGCCGCGUCGAUCAGAUGAAGGCCCUCUCGGGUNUGUCAAAUCAUCUUUAUCUCGGGAAGAAAAACUCGUUCUAACGAGGCUUGACGGCANCAGAGGACAUCAAUCGCACCGGAUCAAACUCCGUGCCACGCAGCGGGUGAAUCACGGAGGGUCGCAAGACGUAGUCCGGAUCCCAACUGGGUCUCUACANAACAAGGNGUUCGCCCGUUCACACGAUCGGGUCCGGAACUCACANAAGUCCAAAGGAUAGGGGGUCCGACAAAGGNUCCCACAGAAGC
rnacentral:rRNA from 1 species